rnacentral:rRNA from 1 species
GAGUUUGAUCUUGGCUCAGAACGAACGCUGGCGGCAUGCCUAACACAUGCAAGUCGAACGAAGGCUUCGGCCUUAGUGGCGCACGGGUGCGUAACGCGUGGGAAUCUGCCCUUGGGUACGGAAUAACUCACCGAAAGGUGUGCUAAUACCGUAUGAUGACGUAAGUCCAAAGAUUUAUCGCCUGAGGAUGAGCCCGCGUAGGAUUAGCUAGUUGGUGAGGUAAAGGCUCACCAAGGCGACGAUCCUUAGCUGGUCUGAGAGGAUGAUCAGCCACACUGGGACUGAGACACGGCCCAGACUCCUACGGGAGGCAGCAGUGGGGAAUAUUGGACAAUGGGCGAAAGCCUGAUCCAGCAAUGCCGCGUGAGUGAUGAAGGCCUUAGGGUUGUAAAGCUCUUUUACCCGGGAAGAUAAUGACUGUACCGGGAGAAUAAGCCCCGGCUAA